rnacentral:rRNA from 1 species
AGCACGGGAGCAAUCCUGGUGGCGAGUGGCGAACGGGUGAGUAAUAUAUCGGAACGUGCCCAGUCGUGGGGGAUAACGCAGCGAAAGCUGUGCUAAUACCGCAUACGAUCUCUGGAUGAAAGCGGGGGACCGCAAGGCCUCGCGCGAUUGGAGCGGCCGAUAUCAGAUUAGCUAGUUGGCGGGGUAAAAGCCCACCAAGGCGACGAUCUGUAGCUGGUCUGAGAGGACGACCAGCCACACUGGAACUGAGACACGGUCCAGACUCCUACGGGAGGCAGCAGUGGGGAAUUUUGGACAAUGGGCGCAAGCCUGAUCCAGCAAUGCCGCGUGCAGGAUGAAGGCCUUCGGGUUGUAAACUGCUUUUGUACGGAACGAAACGGUCCUUUCUAAUACAAGGGGCUAAUGACGGUACCGUAAGAAUAAGCACCGGCUAACUACGUGCCAGCAGCCGCGGUAAUACGUAGGGUGCGAGCGUUAAUCGGAAUUACUGGGCGUAAAGCGUGCGCAGGCGGUUAUAUAAGACAGAUGUGAAAUCCCCGGGCUCAACCUGGGACCUGCAUUUGUGACUGUAUAGCUAGAGUACGGUAGAGGGGGAUGGAAUUCCGCGUGUAGCAGUGAAAUGCGUAGAUAUGCGGAGGAACACCGAUGGCGAAGGCAAUCCCCUGGACCUGUACUGACGCUCAUGCACGAAAGCGUGGGGAGCAAACAGGAUUAGAUACCCUGGUAGUCCACGCCCUAAACGAUGUCAACUGGUUGUUGGGUCUUCACUGACUCAGUAACGAAGCUAACGCGUGAAAGUGACCGCCUGGGGAGUACG